GACUCUGAUCGGUGGAUCACUUGACUCAUUCAUCAAUGAAGAAUGCAGCUAGCUGUGAGAACUAAUGUGAAUUGCAGGACAAAUUGAUCAUCGACACUUAGAACACACUUUGCGGCCCCGGGUUAUUCCCGGGGUUAUGACUGUCUGAGGGUCU